AGUCGUUCACAUCACCCUAUAGGAAGGAAGUGGGGUCAUCCCGAUGUUUUAGCUUAGUUGGAGUUUAUAAGGGCAUGUUGAGGUUCGGAGCACUCGGGCUUGUUUUGAUCAUAGCUCCCUCAUUCAAACUCGGAAUUGCACACCGUUUUUUUCAUGGAUUCCUCACUCUUCCAGGAACAUUCUGUCAAAUUUUCAAGAUUUUUUGCAACCGGUUCGACCGGUUGGCAUCU
rnacentral:lncRNA from 1 species